rnacentral:rRNA from 1 species
GAUGAACGCUGGCGGCGUGCCUAAUACAUGCAAGUCGAGCGGACGGACGUGCUUCUUGCUGCUCUGUUGUUAGCGUCGGACGGCUGAGUAGCGCGUAACUCACCUACCUAUAAGCCUCGAAUAACUUAGAAGCACCGUAGAUAGUACCGGAUACUAUUUUGAACCGCAUGGUUCAAACGUGAGAGACGAACUUUCUUUCAGUUGUUGAUGGUUCGGCGCUGCCUUAGCUAGUUGUUAGGGUAACGGCUUCCCACGGCAACGAUGCAUAGCCGACCUGAGAGGGUGAUGGGCGACGGUGGAACUGAGACACGGUCCCGACUCCGACGGGAGGCAGAAGUAGGGAAGGGGACGAAUGGGGCGUAAGCCUGAGGGAGCAGCGCCGCGUGAGUGAGGAAGGUCUUCGGAUCGGAAAUCUCUGUUAUUAGCGAAGACCAUAUGUGUAAGUAACUGUGCACAUCGUGACGGUAGCGAAACAGAAAGCCCCGGCUAACUACGUG